UACGUAGGGUGCGAGCGUUGCCCGGAUUUAUUGGGCGUAAAGGGCGCGUAGGCGGCUCGGCACGUCCGUUGUGAAAUCGCCCGGCUCAACUGGGCGGGGUCAGCGGAUACGGUCGAGCUUGAGCAAGCUAGGGGGUAAUGGAAUUCCCGGUGUAGUGGUGGAAUGCGUAGAUAUCAGGAGGAACACCCGUGGCGAAGGCGGCCUUCUGGGGCAUUCCUGACACUGAGAAGCGAAAGCUAGGGGAGCAAACAGG
rnacentral:rRNA from 1 species